UCGCACAACUCUGGAGAGACCGGUUCGAUCCGGCGCCGAAGGGGCACGGGGCGCGCGUAGCGCCUCCAAACUCUCAGGCAAAAGGACAGAGGGGCGAAG
rnacentral:ncRNA from 2 species